rnacentral:tRNA from 1 species
GCCCCUAUAGCUCAGCCGGUAGAGCAGCGGUCUUUUAAACCAUGGGUCCACGGUCCGGUACAAAAUCGCAAUCACGAGACGCAGGGAGGCG